rnacentral:tRNA from 1 species
GAGCAUAUAGCUCAGUGGUAGAGCAAUGAUCUUCUAAGUCAUAGCGCGUGGGUUCAAAUCCUACUAUGCUUU